UGCUAUCAUGCACUCGAGCGGCAGAUGGGAGCUUGCUCCCUGAUGUCAGCGGCGGACGGGUGAGUAACACGUGGGUAACCUGCCUGUAAGACUGGGAUAACUCCGGGAAACCGGGGCUAAUACCGGAUGCUUGAUUGAACCGCAUGGUUCAAUUAUAAAAGGUGGCUUUUAGCUACCACUUACAGAUGGACCCGCGGCGCAUUASCUAGUUGGKGAGGUAACGGUUCACCAAGGCAACGAUGCGUAGCCGACCUGAAAGGGUGAUCGGCCACACUGGGAACUGAAACACGGCCCAAACUCCUACGGGAGGCAGCAGUAGGGAAUCUUCCGCAAUGGACAAAAGUCUGACGGAGCAACGCCNCGUGAAGUGAUGAAGGUUUUCGGAUCGUAAAACUCUGUUGUUAGGGAAAAAC
rnacentral:rRNA from 1 species